rnacentral:misc_RNA from 1 species
GUAUAAACUUUUAUUAUGAUUCAACCAUUCUAAAUUUUGUUACAGAGAUUGUGAAACAUAGACCUUAAAAAUGCAAGGAAAAGCCGACCUCUUUGAAAGUGAAGCGCAGCAGUCCCAACUCGGAACGAAUUCCAAAAACUCUCAGGUCUACAAUAUGUGCACAGUUGGAGAAAUGAUAAAGAUGACAAGCGUGCACAUGCCUCCAGAAAGACCAGCAACAGCCUGUUCAAGUUUAUUCGAUAAUGAUCCUUCCGCAGGUUCACCUACGGAAA